rnacentral:rRNA from 1 species
CAAGUCGACGACACCUCCGGGGCUACCCUGGCGGCGAGUGGUAGAGGGGUGAAGAAUACAUCCAAAUCUACCUUCUGGUGUGGAAUCACCAGCCAAAACGCUGUAUGAUACCGCAUAAAACCAAUUGGUGCUGGCGGUGAACCCAAUGGCCUCUAGCGAGUUGAUGGUUUAAUGUCCUAUUAACUAGUUGGUGGGGUAAUAGCCCACCAAGGAUCCGAUCCGUACCUGGUCUUAAGGAUGAUCAGCCACCCUGGGACUGAGACACGGCCCAAACUCCUACCGGACGCCGAAGUGGGGAAUAUUGGACAAUGGGCGCAAGACUGAUCCAUCUGUGCCGCGUGUGUGAAGAAUGCCUUCGGGUUGUAAAGCACUUUUAUCGGGAACUAAAAACGAUUGGUUAAUACCCGGUCGUGCUGACAGUACCCGAGGAAUAAUGUCCGGCUAACUUCGUGCCCGCAUCCGCUCCAAUACCAAGGGUGCAAGCGUGAAUCUAAAAUUACUGGGCUUAAAGCGUGCGUACACGGCUUUUUACUCUGCUGUGAAAGCCCUGGGCUCAACCUGAGAACUGCAGUGGAUACUGGGGAGCUGAAGUGCGGAAGAGGAUGGUGGAAUUCCCGGUGCUGCGGUGAAAUGCGUACAGAUCGGGAGGAACAUCCAUGGCGAAGGCGGGCAUCUGGUCCACCUGUGACGCUGACGCACGACAGCGAGCGCAGCACACCGGAUUACAUACCCUGCUAGUCCACGCCCUAAACGAUGCGAACUGUACGUUGGGCACAACUCGGUGCUCAUUGUCUACUCUAACGCGUUGAGUUCGCCGCCUGCAGACUACGCUCUCUAUAGUGUAACUCGAGGAAUUGACAGA